rnacentral:lncRNA from 1 species
CAUCUUAGUGACAGUCCAGAACAACUUUCCAUUGUAAAAAUAUAACAUAAAAUUAUGAUAAUGACUAAGAGGGAGCACUUUCUGCCCCUUCCGAGGCUGGUGGCAGCUGAUGAAAUGGCCUUUCAAUAACUUAUUGACUGCACCAUCACAAGCAUGUCAAGAUCAGGGAAA